rnacentral:rRNA from 1 species
CUAGCCUGCCCAGUGACCACAGUUCAACGGCCGCGGUAUCCUAACCGUGCGAAGGUAGCGUAAUCACUUGUUCUUUAAAUGAGGACUAGUAUGAAUGGCAUCACGAGGGUUAUACUGUCUCCUCUCUCCAAUCAGUAAAACUAUUCUCCCCGUGAAGAAACGGGGAUGCUUUUAUAAGACGAGAAGACCCUAUGGAGCUUUAAAUUUUAUUUCAACUGCUCUCUCAUGUGAACCGCUCCGACCUACUACACUUAGCCGAGCAUAAUGAUAAUAAAUUUUAGGUUGGGGUGACCGCGGAGCAUAAAAAAACCUCCGCAUAGAACAGGCCUAAGCCUUGAACAAAGAGCUACAACUCCAAGCACUAAUAUAUUAACAUCCAUUGACCCAAUAUUUUUGAUCAACGAACCAAGUUACCCUAGGGAUAACAGCGCAAUCUACUUUGAGAGCUCCUAUCGACAAGUAGGUUUACGACCUCGAUGUUGGAUCAGGGUAUCCCAGUGGUGCAGCCGCUACUAAAGGUUCGUUUGUUCAACGAUUAAAACCCU